GGGAUCGUAGUCUAGCUUGGUAUGAUACGCGGUUCGGGACCGCGUGAUCCCCGGUUCAAAUCCGGGCGAUCCCACCA
rnacentral:tRNA from 1 species